rnacentral:rRNA from 1 species
UACGUAGGGGGCAAGCGUUGUCCGGAUUUAUUGGGCGUAAAGAGCGUGUAGGCGGCCAGAUAGGUCCGUUGUGAAAACUCGAGGCUCAACCUCGAGACGCCGAUGGAAACCAUUUGGCUAGAGUCCGGAAGAGGAGAGUGGAAUUCCUGGUGUAGCGGUGAAAUGCGCAGAUAUCAGGAAGAACACCGGUGGCGAAGGCGGCUCUCUGGGCCUUACCUGACGCUGAGGAGCGAAAGCGUGGGUAGCGAACAGG